rnacentral:rRNA from 1 species
AUGCAAAAUAUUCACUUGGCUUGCUUCGUAGUACAUGUUAUGGACCCCGGACCCCCGGCUAGGCAUGGCCUUCAAGAUUCACCUUCGGUGCACUACACUUGCCUACAGGACGAUGACAAGGUUGACCACAUCCUCGUACAGUGCACCUAUGCGCAAGAGACUUGGCACCAAUGCUUUGAUUUGCUACAAAUCCCUAUUCAUCGCCUGACGGGAGCAGACACAUUCGUCGAGUGGUGGCUAGGGAAGCGGCAGAUGUUCGGGAAAGAUGAUAGGGGCUUCGACACAUUUUUCAUUUGCACAACCUGGUCUCUAUGGAAGUAG